UGGGUCCCAGAGUGAACCGCUGGUGUUC
rnacentral:piRNA from 1 species